AAUGAACGUUGGCGGCGUGGAUUAGGCAUGCAAGUCGUGCGGCAGCAGGCCCCGCAAGGGGCGCUGGCGAGCGGCGAAAGGGAUAGUAAUGUGUGGAUACCUGCCCUGGGGACGGGGAUAGCUGCUGGAAACGGCAAUUAAUACCCGAUGAUGUCUCCGGACCAAAGGUGUGAUUCCGCCCUAGGAGGGGUCCACAUCCUAUUAGCUAGUUGGUGAGGUAACGGCUCACCAAGGCCACGAUGGGUAGCGGGUGUGAGAGCACGACCCGCAUCACUGGGACUGAGACACUGCCCAGACACCUACGGGUGGCUGCAGUCGAGGAUCUUCGGCAAUGAGCGAAAGCUUGACCGAGCGACGCCGCGUGCGGGAUGAAGGCCUUCGGGUUGUAAACCGCUUUCGGAGGGGAGGAAAUCUAGGGGGGAUCACCCUUCUAGUUGACCUAUCCUAGGAAGAAGGACGGGCUAAGUUCGUGCCAGCAGCCGCCGUAAUAC
rnacentral:rRNA from 1 species